UAUUGACGAGAAGAGUGAAAGCAGAGGAACUGCUGAAUUGUUUGGUGCUCUAAGGGGUCGUCUAGGUGACAGCAACAAAAAUUUAGUCAUGGCAACAUUGACAUGCAUUGGCAAUGUUGCAUGCGCAAUGGGUCCAGCUGUUGAGAAAGCAAGCAAGGGCAUUUUAGCGGAUGUUUUGAAAUGUUUGGGUGACAAUAAAAAGCAUAUGAGGGAAUGCACAUUGAAUACUUUAGAUUCUUGGCUCUCUGCUGUUCAUCUUGAUAAAAUGGUUCCUUACAUUGCAGCAGCUUGGACAGAUGCAAAACUUGGU